CUCCAUUAUACUCCUGUACACUCCUAGACAGACCAGUGUUCUGUGGCUGCAGUGCAGAGUCCGUCGACUGUGUCCCGGCUUAGCGGCGGCUUCAUACGCUGCAGGAGGAAGAUCAGGACGACGCUGAUACUCCGAACAGCUCUGACACAACCGAUGAGAUGCUGCGUCUUUAUCAGAAAGAUUCUUACUGAAGAAGUCCGUCCAUGAGGCUGAAAGCUGCUGUGAAAAGUGACAACAACCAGACUGGAGUCCUUUAAAAGCAUUUUAUUCGUAAGAAUCCAUAUAAAAACCACAGGAGCUGCCUCCAGCUCAGUCUCAGUGCACCGUCCUGGUCGAACAGGUGAUCUCCACACACAGGUGAGGCUCCUCAUCACCGUGGCGACGCUGCAGCAGCUGGAUGUUCGGGCCUCGUCGGGUUCAAACUCGCCGUUGGAGCUGAAAGUCGCUCCUCGAUCUGUCGCCAAAGGAGGCCGAGGUCGAAGUCCGGAUGAUCCGUCCGAGAUGCCCUGAAGCAGAAAAUAACCGCAACUGAUGAGGAACAAGUUAAUCUGCUUUAUGUUUACAUAUAUUUCUAUUUACAGGCUGAUAACAGCGUUUAUUGUGUAUUCAUGGCUGUUUUGUGUCUCAUUGUGGUCAUUUUUCAUCUAUUUCUGGUUGUUUAGUUUUCAUUGUGGUCAUUUUUCAUCUAUUGGUAGUAGCUUCUUGACGGUUUAUGGUGGUUUUUUGUCUCUUUGCUUUUGUUGUGUGUUUCUUUGUAGUUGUUUUUUGUCUAUUUGUGGUAAUUUUUUUCCUAUAUGUAGUAGCUUCAUGUCUGUUUAUAGUGUUUUUAUGUUUCUUUAUAUUGUUUGUGUCUAUUUGUGUAUUUGUUGUGGCUAAUUCCAGUAUUUUCAGAUUUAAUUUAACUGUUUUUAAGCCAAAGUAGUUGUCUAUUUUUCUUAACUUUAUAUAAUAACAAUCUGAAUUUUAAUAGCUCUUUGCAUUAAUUCGACUUUUUACCUUAUAAAUGACUAUCUUCAGACCUUUCAGAUUAUAAUUUUAUCUUUUGAAUUCAUCAGGCUUUUGAACACUGAAUGUAUAACAUAUUAUGGAUAUGUUUUUGACUAUUUAAUGCAUGACUGUCAGUUUUUUCAACUUACUAUUCUU
ensembl:lncRNA